ACGCCGGCGGCAGGCCUAACACAUGCAAGUCGAGCGGUAGAGAGAAGCUUGCUUCUCUUGAGAGCGGCGGACGGGUGAGUAAUGCCUAGGAAUCUGCCUGGUAGUGGGGGAUAACGUUCGGAAACGGACGCUAAUACCGCAUACGUCCUACGGGAGAAAGCAGGGGACCUUCGGGCCUUGCGCUAUCAGAUGAGCCUAGGUCGGAUUAGCUAGUUGGUGGGGUAAUGGCUCACCAAGGCGACGAUCCGUAACUGGUCUGAGAGGAUGAUCAGUCACACUGGAACUGAGACACGGUCCAGACUCCUACGGGAGGCAGCAGUGGGGAAUAUUGGACAAUGGGCGAAAGCCUGAUCCAGCCAUGCCGCGUGUGUGAAGAAGGUCUUCGGAUUGUAAAGCACUUUAAGUUGGGAGGAAGGGCAGUUACCUAAUACGUGAUUGUUUUGACGUUACCGACAGAAUAAGCACCGGCUAACUCUGUGCCAGCAGCCGCGGUAAUACAGAGGGUGCAAGCGUUAAUCGGAAUUACUGGGCGUAAAGCGCGCGUAGGUGGUUCGUUAAGUUGGAUGUGAAAUCCCCGGGCUCAACCUGGGAACUGCAUUCAAAACUGACGAGCUAGAGUAUGGUAGAGGGUGGUGGAAUUUCCUGUGUAGCGGUGAAAUGCGUAGAUAUAGGAAGGAACACCAGUGGCGAAGGCGACCACCUGGACUGAUACUGACACUGAGGUGCGAAAGCGUGGGGAGCAAAC
rnacentral:rRNA from 1 species